UUCUUUCUGUCUGUCUGUCUGUCUGUCUGCUCCGUUCGCUCCCGGCGGCCGUGUCCGAUGUACAAUAUAUUAAGCACUGCCUUUCUUCAGCCACUGGGUUACCGGUGCAUUCUUCUAAGUAAAUUAUUUUGCUGGUGGUAAAUCCGCUGUAUUUUGAUAUCAAAGGCACAC